UACGGAGGGGGCUAGCGUUGUUCGGAAUUACUGGGCGUAAAGCGCGCGUAGGCGGACCUGCAAGUCGGGGGGUGAAAGCCCGAGGCUCAACCUCGGAACUGCCUUCGAUACUGCGGGUCUCGAGUCCGGGAGAGGUGAGUGGAAUUCCUAGUGUAGAGGUGAAAUUCGUAGAUAUUAGGAAGAACACCAGUGGCGAAGGCGGCUCACUGGCCCGGGUACUGACGCUGAGGCGCGAAAGCGUGGGGAGCAAACAGG
rnacentral:rRNA from 1 species